AUGAGUAGCGAAAGACAGGUGAGAAUCCUGUCCACCGAAUGACUAAGGUUUCCUGGGGAAGGCUCGUCCGCCCAGGGUUAGUCGGGACCUAAGCCGAGGCCGAUAGGCGUAGGCGAUGGAUAACAGGUUGAUAUUCCUGUACCCGUUGUUUUUGUUUGAGCAAUGGAGGGACGCAGGAGGCUAAGGAAUCAGACGAUUGGAAAUGUCUGUCCAAGCAAUAAGUCUUGAUGUGAGUCAAAUGCUUACGUCUUUAAGGACAAGUUGUGAUGGGGAGGGAAAUAAUAGUACCGAAGUUCCUGAUGUCACACUGCCGAGAAAAGCUUCUAGUGAGAAAACAAUGGCCCGUACCGCAAACCGACACAGGUAGUCGAGGAGAGAAUCCUAAGGUGAGCGAGAGAACUCUCGUUAAGGAACUCGGCAAAAUGACCCCGUAACUUCGGGAGAAGGGGUGCUGAUCUAACGAUCAGCCGCAGUGAAUAGGCCCAAGCGACUGUUUAUCAAAAACACAGGUCUCUGCAAAAUCGAAAGAUGACGUAUAGGGGCUGACGCCUGCCCGGUGCUGGAAGGUUAAGAGGAGUGCUUAGCGUA
rnacentral:rRNA from 1 species